rnacentral:tRNA from 1 species
UGGGGUGUAGCUCAGGGUAGAGCGCUUGCUUGGCGCGUGUGAAGCCCUGGGUUCUGAACCCAGAACCGCAA